rnacentral:misc_RNA from 1 species
UCCGGUUUGUCACCGGCAGUCUUCCCAGAGUCCCCGGCAUGACCCGCUGGUAACUGAGAACAAGGGUUGCGCUCGUUGCGGGACUUAACCCAACAUCUCACGACACGAGCUGACGACAGCUAUGCACCACCUGUGUACGACCCCGAAGGACACCGUAUCUCUACGGCUUUUCCGUACAUGUCAAGCCCAGGUAAGGUUCUUCGCGUUGCAUCGAAUUAAGCCACAUACUCCACCGCUUGUGCAGGCCCCCGUCAAUUUCUUUGAGUUUUAAUCUUGCGACCGUACUCCCCAGGCGGCGCGUUUAUCGCGUUAGCUUCGCCACGGAAGGGGUCGAUUCCUCCCACAGCAAACGCGCACCGUUUAGGGCUAGGACUAC